rnacentral:rRNA from 1 species
GACGAACGCUGGCGGCGUGCUUAACACAUGCAAGUCGAACGGCAAGGCCCUGCUUGCGUGGGGUGCUCGAGUGGCGAACGGGUGAGUAACACGUGAGUAACCUGCCCUUGACUUUGGUAUAACUUCAGGAAACUGGGGCUAAUACCGUAUAGGAGCCCCUGCUGCAGGGUGGGGGUGGGAAAGUUUGGGCGGGUGGGGAUGGACGCGCGGCUUAUCAGCUUGUUGGUGGGGGAGGGGCUUACCAAGGCUUUGGCGGGUAGCCGGCCGGAGAGGGUGACCGGCCACAUUGGGACUGCGAUACGCCCCAGACUCCUACGGGAGGCAGCAGUGGGGAAUAUUGCACAAUGGGCGGAAGCCUGAUGAAGCAACGCCGCGUGCGGGAUGACGGCCUUCGGGUUGUAAACCGCUUUAGCCUGUGACGAAGCGUGAGUGACGGUAAUGGGUAAAGAAGCACCGGCUAACUACGUG